rnacentral:rRNA from 1 species
GAUGAACGCUGACAGAAUGCUUAACACAUGCCAGUCAACUGUGGCGGACUGGUGAGUCACGCGUAAAGAACUUGCCUCACAGAUAGGGACAACAUUUGGAAACGAAUGAUAAUACCUGAUCCUGGGAGAGAGCUUUGCGUCCCCUUAGCUCGUUGGAGAGGUACAGGCUCACCAAGGAGAGGAUGGGUAGCCGGCCUGAGAGGGUGAUCGGCCACAAGGGGACGGAGAAACGGCCCUUACUCCGACGUGCGGCAGCAGUGGGGAAUAUUGGACAAUGGACCAAAGUCUGAUCCAGUAAUUCGGUGUGCACGAUGAAGUUUUCGGAAUGUAAAGUGCUUUCAGUUGGGAAGCAGUACCAACAGAAGAAGUGACGGCUAAAUACGUGCCAGCAGCCGCGGUAAUAC